rnacentral:rRNA from 1 species
CAGCCGCCGCGGUAAGACGAACCGUGCAAACGUUGCUCGGAAUCACUGGGCUUAAAGCGCACGUAGGCGGCGACAUAAGUUAGAGGUGAAAUCCCAUCGGCUCAACCGUGGAACUGCCUCUAAUACUGUGUUGCUUGAGGGAGAACGGGGCAUUCGGAACUUCCGGUGGAGCGGUGAAAUGUGUUGAUAUCGGAAGGAACGCCGGUGGCGAAAGCGGAAUGCUGGGUCUCUUCUGACGCUGAGGUGCGAAAGCUAGGGUAGCGAACGGGAUUAGAUACCCCGGUAGUCCCUGUCUCUUAUA